rnacentral:rRNA from 1 species
GUCCUGGUUUUGUAACUAAAAUGGUUUGGCAGUGAGCGAUUCUUGUUAGGGGAAGAUGCAUAGUAAAGGAUGGUCCACCUAUUAUUUCACUCUUGUUAUGUUGGUGUAUAUCUGGUUUGAUAUUAUCGUUUAAUGGUUUGAGUUUGUGUAGUUUUAGUUAAGCCAAGUCUAUGUGCUGCUUAUGGGAGUUUUUGUGUGUUACAUUAAUAAGGGUGUUGUUGUAAUAUGAUAUUAUUUAG